rnacentral:rRNA from 1 species
CGACGGGGGGUUGUAGUGAGGAAGAGUGGUCAAGGGGCGGAAGCCGGAACCAGACAAGUAGCGUGAGGGAGGAAGGCCCUACGGGUCGUAAACCGCUUUUGCACGGGGAUAACACCCUCCACUUGUGGAGGUCUGCAGGUACCGUGCGAAUAAGGGCCGGCUAAUUCCGUGGCAGCAGCCGCGGUAAUACGGAAGGCCCGAGCGUUAUCCGGAUUCAUUGGGCUUAAAGGGAGCGUAGGCGGGCGUUCAAGUCAGCUGUAAAAUCGCGCGGCUCAACCGCGCCCCGCAGUUGAAACUGGACGCCUUGAGUUCACAACAGGCAGGCGGAAUUCGUGGUGUAGCGGUGAAAUGCAUAGAUAUCACGAGGAACCCCGAUUGCGAAGGCAGCCUGCCGGGGUGCGACUGACGCUGAGGCUCGAAGGUGCGGGUAUCAAACAGGAUUAGAUACCCUUGUAGUC